AACGAACGCUGGCGGCAUGCCUAACACAUGCAAGUCGAACGAACCCUUCGGGGUUAGUGGCGCACGGGUGCGUAACGCGUGGGAAUCUGCCCUUGGCUUCGGAAUAACAGUUAGAAAUGACUGCUAAUACCGGAUGAUGUCUUCGGACCAAAGAUUUAUCGGCCAGGGAUGAGCCCGCGUAGGAUUAGGUAGUUGGUGGGGUAAAGGCCUACCAAGCCGACGAUCCUUAGCUGGUCUGAGAGGAUGAUCAGCCACACUGGGACUGAGACACGGCCCAGACUCCUACGGGAGGCAGCAGUGGGGAAUAUUGGACAAUGGGCGCAAGCCUGAUCCAGCAAUGCCGCGUGAGUGAUGAAGGCCUUAGGGUCGUAAAGCUCUUUUACCCGGGAUGAUAAUGACAGUACCGGGAGAAUAAGCUCCGGCUAACUCCGUGCCAGCAGCCGCCGUAA
rnacentral:rRNA from 1 species